UACGAAGGGGGCUAGCGUUGCUCGGAAUCACUGGGCGUAAAGGGUGCGUAGGCGGGUUUUUAAGUCAGAGGUGAAAUCCUGGAGCUCAACUCCAGAACUGCCUUUGAUACUGAAGAUCUUGAGUUCGGGAGAGGUGAGUGGAACUGCGAGUGUAGAGGUGAAAUUAGUAGAUAUUCGCAAGAACACCAGUGGCGAAGGCGGCUCACUGGCCCGAUACUGACGCUGAGGCACGAAAGCGUGGGGAGCAAACAGG
rnacentral:rRNA from 1 species